rnacentral:rRNA from 1 species
UACGUAGGGUGCGAGCGUUAAUCGGAAUUACUGGGCGUAAAGCGUGCGCAGGCGGUUUUGUAAGCCAGAUGUGAAAUCCCCGGGCUUAACCUGGGAAUGGCAUUUGGGACUGCAAGGCUUGAGUGCGGCAGAGGAGACUGGAAUUCCUGGUGUAGCAGUGAAAUGCGUAGAUAUCAGGAGGAACACCGAUGGCGAAGGCAGCCCCCUGGGCUGACACUGACGCUCAGGCACGAAAGCGUGGGGAGCAAACAGG